rnacentral:rRNA from 1 species
AUAUCAAUAAGCGGAGGAAAAGAAACUAACAAGGAUUCCCCUAGUAACUGCGAGUGAAGCGGGAAGAGCUCAAAUUUGAAAUCUGGCGGUUCCGCCGCCCGAGUUGUAAUCUGGAGAAGCGUUUUCCGUGCCGGACCGUGUACAAGUCCCUUGGAACAGGGCGUCAUAGAGGGUGAGAAUCCCGUCUUUGACACGGACUCCCGGUGCUCUGCGAUGCGCUCUCGAAGAGUCGAGUUGUUUGGGAAUGCAGCUCAAAAUGGGUGGUAAAUUCCAUCUAAAGCUAAAUAUUGGCGAGAGACCGAUAGCGAACAAGUACCGUGAGGGAAAGAUGAAAAGCACUUUGGAAAGAGAGUAAAACAGUACGUGAAAUUGUUGAAAGGGAAACGCUUGAAGUCAGUCGCGUCUUCUGGGACUCAGCCUUGCUUUUGCUCGGCGCACUUCCCAGUUUGACGGGUCAGCAUCGGCUCUGGGGGGCGGACAAAUGCGUGGGGAAGGUGGCAGCUCCGGCUGUGUUAUAGCCCCGCGCUACGCGUCCCCCGGGACCGAGGAAUCCGGCGCUCGCGCCUGGGAUGCUGGCGUAAUGGCUUUAAACGACCCGUCUUGAAACACGGACCA